UACGUAGGGGGCAAGCGUUGUCCGGAAUUAUUGGGCGUAAAGCGCGCGCAGGCGGUCCUUUAAGUCUGAUGUGAAAGCCCACGGCUCAACCGUGGAGGGUCAUUGGAAACUGGGGGACUUGAGUACAGAAGAGAAGAGUGGAAUUCCACGUGUAGCGGUGAAAUGCGUAGAGAUGUGGAGGAACACCAGUGGCGAAGGCGACUCUUUGGUCUGUAACUGACGCUGAGGCGCGAAAGCGUGGGGGGCAAACAGG
rnacentral:rRNA from 1 species